rnacentral:rRNA from 1 species
AUUGAACGCUGGCGGCAUGCUUUACACAUGCAAGUCGAACGGUAACAGGGUGCUUGCACCGCUGACGAGUGGCGAACGGAUGAGUAAUGCGUCGGAACGUGCCGAGUAGUGGGGGAUAACGCAGCGAAAGUUGUGCUAAUACCGCAUACGUACUGAGGUAGAAAGUGGGGGACCUUCGGGCCUCACGCUAUUCGAGCGGCCGAUGUCUGAUUAGCUAGUAGGUGAGGUAAAGGCUCACCUAGGCGACGAUCAGUAGCGGGUCUGAGAGGAUGAUGCGCCACACUGGGGCUGAGACACGGCCCAGACUCCUACGGGAGGCAGCAGUGGGGAAUUUUGGACAAUGGGCGAAAGCCUGAUCCAGCCAUGCCGCGUGUCUGAAGAAGGCCUUCGGGUUGUAAAGGACUUUUGUCAGGGAGGAAAUCCCCAGUGCUAAUAACACUGGGGGAUGACAGUACCUGAAGAAUAAGCACCGGCUAACUACGUGCCAGCCGCCGCCGUAAGAC